rnacentral:rRNA from 1 species
GACGAACGCUGGCGGCGUGCUUAACACAUGCAGGUCGAACGGAAAGGCCCUGCUUUUGUGGGGUGCUCGAGUGGCGAACGGGUGAGUAACACGUGAGUAACCUGCCCUUGACUUUGGGAUAACUUCAGGAAACUGGGGCUAAUACCGGAUAGGAGCUCCUGCUGCAUGGUGGGGGUUGGAAAGUUUCGGCGGUUGGGGAUGGACUCGCGGCUUAUCAGCCUGUUGGUGGGGUAGUGGCUUACCAAGGCUUUGACGGGUAGCCGGCCUGAGAGGGUGACCGGCCACAUUGGGACUGAGAUACGGCCCAGACUCCUACGGGAGGCAGCAGUGGGGAAUAUUGCACAAUGGGCGGAAGCCUGAUGCAGCAACGCCGCGUGCGGGAUGACGGCCUUCGGGUUGUAAACCGCUUUCGCCUGCGACGAAGCGUGAGUGACGGUAAUGGGUAAAGAAGCACCGGCUAACUACGUG